UAUAUGGUAUGCCUUAUUCUCAUGGGAUGCCUCUGGGGAAUAAUGUAGUUGAAGAUAAAAAUAUCCGAGAAUAUAUAAUCACUAUCGGGAAAAGAUGAAAGGAACUAAGAGACAUUGGGAUGUUGGCUCAAACACCACCUCUAGGAUUUACAAUUCAUCAAUUAAAACCGGGAGAUAAGGUUCUGAUAAAAACAUGGAAGGAAGAAAACUUAUCUCCCCUCUGGGAAGGACCUUUUCUUGUUUUAUUAACUACAGAAACAGCUGUGAGAACUGCUGAAAAAGGAUGGACGCACGUGUCACGAAUAAAAUACUCCAGACCCAAGUGAAUCCCAGCUCGUUGGCUAAGGCCGUGGGAAGAACCAUUGUUGUAUGGGAGGAGUACCCCAACUGACGACGCGGGACAGCAGAACCCCGAGUCGAGCUAGUACUCAGCUUUGUCCAAUUUGUCGCCGGUGCAGUUUGUAUCUUAUUUGUCAUUGUUAUUACUGUGGGAAAUAUAUAAUCCAUUAUAACGGAUCACAACAAGUA